rnacentral:lncRNA from 1 species
GCAGAUUGAUGAAGGGAUAUCUGAGAAUUUCUCUGAGGCAGAAGUAAUUCGUACUGUUCUAAAGAUAAUUAAGCCUGGUACUUUCAAAGACAUGCUGACGACCAAAGUUGGGUUAACUGUAGCUGAGCUUAAACGUUUCCUCAGAGCACACUUACGAGACAAGAGUAGUGCAGAGCUAUUUCAGGAGCUUAGCAAUACCAAACAACAGGACAGAGAAAGCCCACAACAGUUCAUGUACCGGUUAAUGGGGCUUAAACAGAGAAUAUUGUUUGCUUCUCAGCAAGGUAGCUCAGAGUUUCAAUAUGACGACAAACUUGUCCAUGGGGUAUUUCUUCACUCGCUGUAUCAGGGGAUAAGUGAGAAAUAUGCACAUGUAAGGCGAGACCUUAAACCCCUCCUUACCAAUACAAGUAUAACUGAUGAUUUCAUCUUAGAGAUAAUGACAAAGUCAGUUAGUGAAGAGGUUGAGAGACAGGCACGCCUAGGUCAGACACACAAAACCAAAACAGUCACAGUCAAUGCCACACAACAACGGGAGAGACAACACGCAGUCCAGCCUCCAGCUGAAGUUCAAGCCAGCGUUCUUCAAACGCAAGCCGAAGUCCAGGCUAACCGCACAGCUAUACACGAACUGACAGCACAUGUCUCUGCCUUAGCAAAAACUAUAGAGAAGGCUCUCACCCCUACAGCCAGUACUCCAGUGCCGUCACAGGCCCAUCCGUUAAGUACCGUGCAACCACCCAAGUCUGUCACAAGGGGAAAAUGCAAGUCAUGUUUAGCUCAAGGGACUGCAAACUGCAACCACUGUUUCAGGUGUGGCCAGGAAGGGCACAGAGCUGUGGGCUGCCUGUCAAAACAUAAGCCAGCGGGAAAUGUGAUGGGGUCACUGGGGAGGGACCACCAGUGACCAAACAAGAGCCAGAGUCCCCUGCUUCCGUAACCAGCCAUGACUUCAUAACUCCCACUCAUUGUCCAUCACUAUCGAAGCACAGAGUAAGAAAAGGAAACCAUUUAGCAAAACUGAUAGGCAGAAAGUGCUUGCUAAACUGUACUCUCAACGGUGUGCAGAUUGAUGCACUACUAGAUAGUGGAGCUCAGGUUACGAUACUGGAAAAGUCUUGGCUUAAGGAACAUUUACCUGACAUUAAAAUCCAGCCACUCACAG